CCUACGGGAGGCAGCAGUGAGGAAUAUUGGUCAAUGGGCGAGAGCCUGAACCAGCCAAGUAGCGUGAAGGAUGACUGCCCUAUGGGUUGUAAACUUCUUUUAUAUGGGGGUAAUAAGCUUUACGAGUAGAGUUUUGACAGUACCAUACGAAUAAGCAUCGGCUAACUCCGUGCCAGCAGCCGCGGUAAUACGGAGGAUGCGAGCGUUAUCCGGAUUUAUUGGGUUUAAAGGGAGCGUUGGCGGCAUGUUAAGUCAGUUGUGAAAGUUUGGGGCUUAACCGUAACAUGGCCGUUAAUACUGGCGGGCUUGAGUACAGACGAGGUAGGCGGAAUUCGUUGUGUAGCGGUGAAAUGCUUAGAUAUCACGUAGAACCCCGAUUGCGAAGGCAGCUCACUGGACUGCAACUGACGCUGAUGCUCGAGAGCAUGGGUAUCGAACAGGAUUAGAUACCCUAGUAGUC
rnacentral:rRNA from 1 species